AGGUUGAGAAACACUGAAAGGCUCAUUUCGAUGGUGUCAAAUCAAAUUAACAUGAUUAUUGGUGAUUAACGUAAUGAAAAAACAACUAAUAUGUUAUCAUGAAAUAAUAAUUGAACCUCAAAACAAUCAGAAUCCACCUUUUGAUUGAAUCCAUUGAAAGAUUAAGUAACCCCUCUUUUUUCUUGUUGAUUACAGCGCCUUCCCUGAUGACCCAGUCAACCUGAUCAAAUCAAGUUAUGUCAGUUAUGAUUUAAGUUAAUUUCAGGUUGAUUGAACACAUCCAUUGACAAUGGUGGAGAUGAAACAAUCCAAGAAGGCUGAUUUGCUGGCUAAACAAUGAUGGACCGAAAUGAAGUUUCCACUGAUCAAAUUUAACCAAAUUUCUGGGGCAUCUGUAAAUUAUUAACCAAUUGCCAUUUCUAUUUUCAAAUUUAAUUCAAUGUGACUGAUAUCUCAAUUUAAAUUCCUGUUGAAUGCUGUUCCAUCAUCAAGUGAUUAACCCACAAAUCAUACUCGAUAAAAAUGGUUAAAUCUUAAUUAAACUGGUAUCCAGCUUUUUUGGGUCCAACUUUAAAUUUUUCAAUUUUCAUCUCUACCAUUAUUUUAAUCGUCCAGAUUAUCUGCUGAUGAAAUUGCUGGUUGAUUACGAAGCUAGAUCACGGUUUACCCUCAUAAAUAACAAAUAUAUCACUAUAUGCAAUCUGGUGAAUCAAAAUUAAUUUAAAGCUCGCUGCUUUGGGUAACAACUCUUUUAUCAACAGUUAAUCAUGUUGAUAGUUUUAAUGGUAUUUAACAAAAAGAGACAAAUUACCGAGGCUUUACUUAAUUACUAUGAAUCUACUUUGAGUUUUUCUUCUUCCUCUUUUUUUCUAAUCAUCAUCAUCUUCAUCUUCAUCAUCAUCUUCCUCUUCUAGUCUUAUUGAUACUUUACUGUAACUCAGUUUGAUGCUAGCUUAGAGUGCAAUUGACAAAUUGGAUGAUUGUCAAAGUUGAUAGGAUUGAUGAAAGAUGAAGAAAAAGUUUCAAUUUUUUAUACUUAAACUACGAUUUUUGAUUUUGUUAUGGCUCAGCAUCCUAAACAAAUUAUACAAUUAUUUCUCAAGACAAUCUAAUUAUAAAAGAAAAUCAAUUAUCGGAAUUAGAAAGCAAAAUUAAUAGCAAAAUAAUCACAUUUGAAUCAACCGCGUCUUCAUAAAACCGUUUUUUACCGAAUGUAGCUUUGCAUUGUUUCAAUAUUUUUAAGAAACAAGAACAAAAAAUGUUGUUAGUUCUUGAAACUAAAGACAAGAACAAGAACAGUACAAAUUGGGACAAAAAAUUAGAGGAACAAAACCCUAAUAUCGGGAACAAUUUAUGGAAUUGAAAGCCUCUAAUCCAGCAAAAUGCUAUUAAUCAAGCGAUAAUUUGUUUUCCAUUGUCAAUAUCUUCCCUAUAGUUGGAAAGUGAAAGCUGAGAAACGAAACAAAAGCUUCUGUAUUUUUGUCAACUUUAAACUUUCUUUGGUUUCGUUAAUUUGUAAGUAAUUUUUCUUAAUUAUCGAUUAGCAAAUCUUCUUGGCCGUUAAUUGUCAAAGUAAAACAGUUUUGAUAUGAUAAAAAUUAGACACAAACUUGUGAUAUCUUUUCUGGUUGUAGUUGAACGACUAAACUGUAUAACUUGACGAUUAUUGCUUUUGUAUCUUCUGCUAUUUCAUUUCAUAUUUCAAACAAAUUGACUAUAAUUGUAAAUGUUAGGGCCAAUAUUUUGAUUGACCUCUAAUUAACAGUGUUGACAGUUUGUUUUUAACAAUUAAGAGUCGUUUGUCAGGCCUUUGACUUCUCAGUGAGUAAAAAUCCUGCCGAGAAAUGUUUAAUGAUGGAUCAACCAUGGAAGAGGUUGAAGCUAUCUUUGAUAACAGUUAAUGUGCCAAGUGAAUCUUGUUCAAUCUUAUUUCAACAGUGAAAGUAACAAUCAAGGAGAAACAUUCUUUGGUGCUAAGGAGCAAAAUACUGUUAAUUAACCGUAAUUGUCUUUGAUCGCCCUUCUGAGAUUCAGAGAAGAUGGAGAAAAGAAGAAGAAAAAUCAACUCUGCCAAGAACAUUACAGAUGAAUAAUUUGGAAGCCUUUCUUGUCUACUGUUAACCAAAUCAACAUGCAACAACAAAACGAUGAUAGGAACAAAAAAGGACGAUUAAUGGUAGCCGAUUGAUGAUGAAGGACAUGACCUAGAGUCAGAUAAUGAUCACCAAUUUUAGUAUAACUAUUCCAAUGGAUUGGAGUAUAUUGACCUGACCAUCUCUUAUUGGGUUUCUUUAUUAAUAACCAUCUUGGACGGACUCAAGCAUUAUUUGGAAGUUAAUACCAUUGAUUGAUAUUUGACAGUUAAUGCGUGAUUGCCUUGUUAAUAUUGAAACUCUUGAAACUUGAGGGGACAACCAGGAGUCAAUGGAUGAAGGGCAAAGAAAUGCUUUGAUCAAUUGUGUGGCUAAUAAUAUCGAUAAGGAAAUAUUCACAGAUUGUCUGACCUUUGUGCCAUGUAGCUUAUUAGAUUGAAGAUUAUCCUUUGGCUAACCUUUGGAGGGCCAAUGUUUUGGAGAGAAAUGACAAAACCUGACUGUUGAUAAAGCCAAAGAUG